GGUUCCAUGGUGUAAUGAUUAGUACUCUGGAUUUUGAAUCCAGCGUUCGGAGUUCAAAUAGCGGUGGAACCU